rnacentral:rRNA from 1 species
CGGGUUGUAAAGUACUUUCAGUCAGUGAGGAAGGUGGGUAUGUUAAUAGCAUACUCAUUUGACGUUAGCUGCAGAAGAAGCACCGGCUAACUCCGUGCCAGCAGCCGCGGUAAUACGGAGGGUGCGAGCGUUAAUCGGAAUUACUGGGCGUAAAGCGCAUGCAGGUGGUUUGUUAAGUCAGAUGUGAAAGCCCGGGGCUCAACCUCGGAAUUGCAUUUGAAACUGGCAAACUAGAGUACUGUAGAGGGGGUAGAAUUUCAGGUGUAGCGGUGAAAUGCGUAGAGAUCUGAAGGAAUACCGGUGGCGAAGGCGGCCCCCUGGACAGAUACUGACACUCAGAUGCGAAAGCGUGGGGAGCAAACAGGAUUAUAUACCCUGGUAG